UACGAAGGGGGCUAGCGUUGCUCGGAAUCACUGGGCGUAAAGGGUGCGUAGGCGGGGCUUUAAGUCAGGGGUGAAAUCCUGGAGCUCAACUCCAGAACUGCCUUUGAUACUGAAGAUCUUGAGUUCGGGAGAGGUGAGUGGAACUGCGAGUGUAGAGGUGAAAUUCGUAGAUAUUCGCAAGAACACCAGUGGCGAAGGCGGCUCAUUGGCCCGAUACUGACGCUGAGGCACGAAAGCGUGGGGAGCAAACAGG
rnacentral:rRNA from 1 species